CUUAAGUUAGUAACCGAUGCAAAUAAUGACUAAUUUGCGUCAGUGAUGUCUCCGACACUAAAACAAAAACUGACACUAAAGAUAAAUUUUAAAUAUAUAUACACACACAUUUUGCGUCAAUUAGCAUUUGUGGUGAUCAUUUAUUGCUAACCGAAGCAAUAUGUGUCUUUUAUCUUCAUUAACCCCUGAAACCCCAUCUCCUCUUCCACAUUGAAAAUAAAAAUUAGGUUUUCACCAUCUUCUUCCCCAUUUCAAACCUCCACCACCCACCAUCCCUUUCUCUCUCUUUCUCUCAGUGUCAUUGUUCGCCCACCGUCCCUUCCUCUCUCUUUCUCUUUGUUGCAUUCUCCACCGCCCAACCCUCUAUCUCUCUUCUCUCUCUCUCUCUCACACAGUGACAUUUCUCCGUUUGACUGGAGCUUGCCUGCCAUCCACUUCGCUUGCUCAGUGUUCGAGCUCUGGCCUCGUCGACUCCAAAGCCGCUCGGCUCCGCCCUCCUCAACUCCAAGCUCUUCCUGGUGUGGGAAAUGAAUGAAACUUUUCUUUUAUGAUUUUAUUUUGAUCUACUUUGGAUUCUUGGAGAUCAUAUUUUUCAGAAACAAGCUUUUAUUCAGCGUCUUCAUAUAGGAAGAAGUCCACCAGUAUCUACUUAAAUUAAGGUCGUUCUUUGUCUUUUCUUUGUUUUCUCAUUUUAGUAAUAUUUGAUCAAUUUGUCUUAUUUCUACAUCUUUAUAGUUGUAAUUUUUAAUAUAGAAAAGUAAUAUGCUCUAAACAUAAAUAUAGGUUUUGGAGUUGGUUUGUAUACUUGUUAUUGACACUAUCAAUUAAUUUUUAAGCUUUGGUUGUCUCAUUUUGUUUA